GACGAACGCUGGCGGCGUGCUUAACACAUGCAAGUCGAACGGAAAGGCCCUGCUUUUGUGGGGUGCUCGAGUGGCGAACGGGUGAGUAACACGUGAGUAACCUGCCCUUGACUUUGGGAUAACUUCAGGGAACUGGGGCUAAUACCGGAUAGGAGCUCCUGCUGCAUGGUGGGGGUUGGAAAGUUUCGGCGGUUGGGGAUGGACUCGCGGCUUAUCAGCUUGUUGGUGGGGUAGUGGCUUACCAAGGCUUUGACGGGUAGCCGGCCUGAGAGGGUGACCGGCCACUUUGGGACUGAGAUACGGCCCAGACUCCUACGGGAGGCAGCAGUGGGGAAUAUUGCACAAUGGGCGGAAGCCUGAUGCAGCAACGCCGCGUGCGGGAUGACGGCCUUCGGGUUGUAAACCGCUUUCGCCUGUGACGAAGCGUGAGUGACGGUAAUGGGUAAAGAAGCACCGGCUAACUACGU
rnacentral:rRNA from 1 species